CGGGUUCGAGGUUAUUAGCUACCCUUUGAUGGAGAGAGCCUUUGAAAGCAACGGCCCCAGAAGCGCGGCCCCCCUCGCCGCGGCCAAAUCCGGCUUUGCGCGGGCAGACUCGCCAGUCCCCGAGGGGCAGCCGGGGUCUGGAGGAGGAUCAGACGGCACGGGGCUCGGAAGGGGCACCCCCAGCUACCUGGAUGGGGAGUCCGAGAGCGGAGGCCCAUCCGCAAGGGGAGAACGUGUCGCCGUCGCCGAGUCAUUUUCAGUCUACUGCUUUCUGGUGGACGAGGGGCAGCGGCAUCGUACACGGCACACCACAAACAUUCAACCCUGGCAGUGGGGUGAGCCGCCCUGUGGAAUGUCACAGCGAUGGAACAAGAUAAUUAAUCGUUUAUUUGCUGUCCAGCUAAAACAGCGCCAGUGCACCAUGUGUAGGAUGUUUGGUUGUCAAGGAGACCAUCUUCAAUAUGUAAACAAGCCUUGCAGCAUUUAUGAAGGCACGGCCUUGUAAUGUAGUGGUUCCUAGUUAAAGGAAGGGACCUGCUCUCGUACCAUUGAGCAGGGUAGUUAUGCUGAAUUGCUCCGGUAAAAUACUGUGCUGUACCAAUAGGUAAAACUGCGAGGGAUUUUGGGUUAUGCUCCCAAGUUACGUGUGGUUACUUUGAAUGUUCGGUCAAGAGCACGUAGAAAAUAUUCUAUAUUUUAUACAGUAAAAGAGGUAAUUAGAGGCAGAAAAGUGAAGGAUAUUAACUGUUCCCAUAAAGUUCCCUCAGCAUUUCUUUAAUUAGAGAAAAUUUAAAGAAAACUAAUUAAAUAUAUCAUUAAAAGAAUAUUACUUUGAUAUUCAGUAGUUUGCAGCCACUUUUUAGAACCACUUUUAAGAGUAAAAAAAAAUCAUAAAAAUUAGACCUAAUAGUACCGCA
rnacentral:lncRNA from 1 species